rnacentral:rRNA from 1 species
UACGGAGGGUGCGAGCGUUGUCCGGAAUCACUGGGCGUAAAGGGCGCGUAGGCGGCGCGGAUAGUCGGCGGUGAAAGCCCGGAGCUCAACUCCGGGUCGGCCGUCGAUACUUCCGGGCUUGAGCACUGUAGAGGCAGAUGGAAUUCCGGGUGUAGCGGUGGAAUGCGUAGAGAUCCGGAAGAACACCGGUGGCGAAGGCGGUCUGCUGGGCAGUUGCUGACGCUGAGGCGCGAAAGCUAGGGGAGCAAACAGG